rnacentral:rRNA from 1 species
AUUGAACGCUGGCGGCAGGCCUAACACAUGCAAGUCGAGCGAGGGGCGGACGGGUGAGUCAUGUAUGGGGACUGCCCGUUAGAGGGGGAUAACUACAGGAAACGGUGGCUAAUACCGCAUACUUCCGGAUAACCCAUAUGGGAUUAGCUAGUAGGUAAGGUAAUGGCUGACCUAGGCGACGAUCCCUAGCUGGGCUGAGAGGAUGAUCAGCCACACUGGGACUGAGACACGGCCCAGACUCCUACGGAGGCAGCAGUGGGGAAUAUUGCACAAUGGGCGAAAGCCUGAUGCAGCCAUGCCGCGUGUGUGAAGAAGGCCCUAGGGUUGUAAAGUACUUUCAGUCGGGAGGCGUUACCGACAGAAGAAGCACCGGCUAACUACGUGCCAGCAGCCGCGGUAAUUC